UACGGGGGGGGCAAGCGUUGUUCGGAAUUACUGGGCGUAAAGGGCUCGUAGGUGGCCAACUAAGUCAGACGUGAAAUCCCUCGGCUUAACCGGGGAACUGCGUCUGAUACUGGAUGGCUUGAGUUUGGGAGAGGGACGCGGAAUUCCAGGUGUAGCGGUGAAAUGCGUAGAUAUCUGGAGGAACACCGGUGGCGAAGGCGGCGUCCUGGACCAACACUGACACUGAUGAGCUAAAGCCAGGGGAGCAAACGGG
rnacentral:rRNA from 1 species